rnacentral:rRNA from 1 species
CCUACGGGUGGCAGCAGUGGGGAAUAUUGGACAAUGGGGGCAACCCUGAUCCAGCCAUGCCGCGUGUGUGAAGAAGGCCCUCGGGUUGUAAAGCACUUUCAGUGAGGAAGAACGCCUGGUGGUUAAUACCCAUCAGGAAAGACAUCACUCACAGAAGAAGCACCGGCUAACUCCGUGCCAGCAGCCGCGGUAAUACGGAGGGUGCGAGCGUUAAUCGGAAUUACUGGGCGUAAAGCGCGCGUAGGUGGCUUGAUAAGCCGGUUGUGAAAGCCCCGGGCUCAACCUGGGAACGGCAUCCGGAACUGUCAAGCUAGAGUGCAGGAGAGGAAGGUAGAAUUCCCGGUGUAGCGGUGAAAGGCGUAGAGAUCGGGAGGAAUACCAGUGGCGAAGGCGGCCUUCUGGACUGAAACUGACACUGAGGUGCGAAGGCGUGGGUAGCAAACAGGAUUGGAUACCCCUGUAGUC